GACGAACCGCGCCCCGUGUGGCCAUGAAAUCCCGGGGUGCGGGUGAUUACGUUAAGUCAGUGCGUUAGCGUGAUUCCGCGCUCCCGCCGCCAUCGCUCAGCGUUCUGAAGGCUCGCUGCUUGGACGGCGCGCUUUGCCCGCCGCGUUUCUGCCUGCAGGAGGGAAGGAGCGCGAACGGCCCACAGCUGCGGGCUGCCCGCACCGGACGGGACACGGCGGCUGGUAAACGACCGCUGCGCUCGGAGGAGCCCCGUUGUGCCACAGCUUUAAGGCAACCACAGCUGGACUUGAGGCUUUCCAUUAAAGAAAUAAAAACAAAAAGAAGAGGUGAGGUAGAAAAGGCACAAACGCAGCCGGCAGCUCUUAGCAGAAUAAUGGGAUGAGAGAGAGGCUGUGUUCAGGGGCUCUCCACACGGAGUCUUUCCCAGUGGUGCGUGUGGCUGGAAGGAGCUCUGGCCGCACACGGGUGGGAUGCCAGCCCUCCUGGUUUCCCAUAUCAGUUCCUGGCAGCAGCUGUGGUCCGAGCAGCUCCUGACACAGCGGGUCUGGGUGGGACGGCGGGCCGGUGAGGUCCUGAAGGAACCGCAGGAAACUGCGUUUGUCCUGCGUGCCUGGAGGGGGAGAACGGCUUUGUGAAGCGCUGCAGCGCCUGCUUAGACAAGCGGUGCUUCUAAGCGGGUACUGCGCCGGCUGUAGCACAAGUGUGAGUUCUACAAACCUCGGAGCGGGAAAAUGCGAGAUGGUAAAAAAAUCAGGGCUUGCUGUGGCAGCCUAGGAGAGACGGUACAGAUAACCAGGUUAGCAGAGAGCACAUUUCAGAUCUUAGCUUGUUUUUCUCUACUAAGCUAAUGGUAUUUCAGAGCUUAUUUUCAUCUCUCCUCGACGUUUCACACUCCUUUAUGCAACUUUCAGACACUGUUUUGUCCUGUCCAAUACCCUCUGUUAAACAACUGGACAUCCUGAUGGCUUUCAUGUAUCAAAAAACCACAACUUAAUCAGUAAGUACUUCAGACAAAGGCACUGUAUAACUGGGGUAACUCAGCAUGAAGUAAUGCAACUAUGCAUCUGUCCUACCUGAUCAUUUCUUGUGGUAUGGGUUGGUCUGCUGCUUUGCUUUGGUUGCUGUGCAUUGUUACCCCUGAAAGGAAAACAGCGUCAUCAGGAAAAGCCCCGUUUGGAUUGGUAACAUGAAGGGAUGAAUGCUUACAAAGGGACCCAGCUAUAGAUCUCAUGUUUCUGACUUCACGCAUUCCUGAAUGUGACAAAUAACUUCCAUGUUCAUUGUCAUAAAAUCAUCAUAGAAUGGCCUGGGUUGAAAAGGAGCACAAUGAUGAUCUAGUUUUAACCCCCUGCUAUGUGCAGGGUCGCCAACCACCAGACCAGACUGCCCAGAGCCACAUCCAGCCUGGCCUUGAAUGCCUGCAGGGAUGGGGCAUCCACAGCCUCCUUGGGCAACCUGUUCAGUACGUCACCACCCAUGUUCUAUGCCCCUGUACCCAUGAACACAAUUACAAGUACCAAUUAGAAAAGUGUGGUGCAUUUUAAGAAGAAAAAAAUGCUUGAGAACUGACAAUCAGAGCAUCUGUAUGAAAGUACCCACAUUUACCAAUAGCAGGAUAGUCUCUUUCUUUGGGGAGCUACGUAAUAUUUUUUACACGAAGUGUCUAACUAGAUUGCUAAAUUAAUUUAGACCACCCUCACAAGCAUUGAAGUACACAUUUGUAAUAAGUAUAAUACCUGUGUUGCCUUCUACUUUUCCUGCAAAACUUUCUCUUUAUUGCAUCACGCUUAAUUACUGCUAUUACAAUCGCAAUCAAUAUUGGCAGCACAACGAAGAAGAAAAUAAGCAGACCGUCCCGAAGUGAUGUAUCUGGAGAAAAACAGGUGCAAUCGUGUAAGACAGUCAUCUUGGUUAACCUUAUAUGAAAGCAUUUUGCUGUUACAAAUACCUUUCUGAAUUACCAUCUUCAAAUUGUUAUAAAGCAAAACUAGUAAUUAGGAUUUGGACUUCCAUAAUCACAAAUUGUCCCUGCCUUACUCAGCCCCAUGCUGUAUGACAUACAGCAUUUUGCUUUUAGUCAACAGAUGUGAAACACUUUCCAUGGCCUCUCAGUGUAAAGGUCAGAAAUAUUGACUCCUUUUUCCCCUUUGCAUAAUUCCAUGGCUCUCAGCUGAGCAGUGAUGAUGCAGCACGCACCUCCUUCAUCCCUCUCACUGCAGUGACACCUUUUCCAUAUGUAAAGUCUGCUGGUUUCAUUCUCAAGCUAUAGCCUUACUGUAUUAUAUAUAUUUUAUCAGGCUUUAAGUAAUUAGCAACUAAAUAUCUAAACAUCUAAUUGUUUUCAAAUGUCAACGUAAUUUUAAGCAAUUAGUGUAUUGCUUUUUAUCUCAGACAAAACAGAUCCACUUCUCCCUUGGACCAGCUUUCAUGAUAUCUGCAGACCUACACAUCAGAUGCUGUUCAUUCUCCAAGGCAGUCACAACUGAGCAGUAGGGGGAAAAAAAAAGCUUUGGAAAAGAGACUGCAAACCACCCUGUAUGAGUAGAUAAAUUAAAUGGGACACUGGAGGCAAUAAGAAAGCAGUUUCAGAAUCAUACCCAUGUGAGUUGGACCACUGUCAAUACUGCCACCGUAGCCCGACUGGUUACAGAACGGAGGUGCCCAUCCAGAAUUGCAGUGGCAGUUCCCAUUGUUGUUACACACCUACAGCCAAUGCAAAAGGGAUUAGUCAAAUAAAGGCUUUUUGGAAGCGGCCACUUUCAACCUCUGACGUAUAUCUGAAGUUACACAUUAAGAACUGGAUGUAGAAGCAAUACUGCACAGUAUUGCAUAGAAGUAGAGGAAGUAUAAGCUCACUGCUUCCAUAACAUCCCAAAACACUGAGUGGAGGAACUUCUCAGUUCUGAAACUGUCAGACUCCAUUUUCAUUUUUCAGAGAAAUAUCUGAAUCCUGGAUCACCAGCCUGUUCUCCCCAGAGGAAUACUUUCCUCUUACAGUUUGACAGCUCAGAAAUGUUAGAAAAUUCCCGAGGGAAAUUUAGAAGAGACGUUUAGAAGUGCCUCUCAGUGUUAGUGCUAAGGUGUUUACAGUAUACUGCUAACAUGAAUUAUGGAUUAAAACAUGGAUUUAACUUCUAAUACAGAGCAGAAUAAAGCAAAGCCAUCUGUCAGGCUAUUGCUUUUAUAGAGGAAUUUUGCAGCUAUCUUCAAGAUAUAGGGCAUAAAAACACCAUCUACUCACCCCGUUGUCAUUACACUUCUGCUUUACAUCACAGCUGUAGCCCAGAUGACUUGCAUCAACACACUCAAAAGAUACACAGGCCUGGGAAAGUAUUCAGUGUCUUUUAAAUACAACAUUCCCCCCAAAUCCUAUCCAUUUUAUACAUAUACUAUAUAAUAAUAUACAUUUACAAGUCUACACAGCUUUUGCUUAUCGACCCUUUGCCUUGGCAUAUAGAACACUGAGUACUUAACAGUUUUAUAGCUGUAUUUAUCUCAGAUUUUCUUAAAUCUAUGGAUGCAGCUUGAUGGAAGUAAUUUGACUGAUAAGAUUGCUCACUAAUUUGUAACAUCACAGUUUUUUUUAAGAGCUAAUUAAUUGUGUGUGUAUAUCUGAAACAGCAGGUUCUUUAAUGACUUUACGGUAGACGAACAAGAGAACAGUUUAAUGCUUUUGAAAGUUAAGAGCUUUCCAGUUGGUGGAAUAUAUUGUGUAUGUAUGCUGAGAUUUGUCUUACCUUCUUUUCUCCACAUGCUGUUCCAUCAUGAACUUGAGCGGGAUCAGGGAUAUCUGAUCCUAAGUCAAAAUCAGAGGACCAGCAUAAAACCCCAGAUGCAUUAUUGACAACACUCCACGCAGGAAGAUUUUGAAGGCUAACAGAAGUGCACUGGAGCUUGCCACACAGACUGUGCCUGUAGUGAACAAAUGGCACUUGGAGAUAAGAUGAACAGCAAAAAAAUCACACACAAAAAAACCCCAGUAUAAAUGCAAAUACACCAUCCAGUCAAAUGUAGGCUGCAUUUUAAACAAAUAUUCUUGUCUUAAAUCUCAUGCUCUACAAGCUCAUACAGGAAUGUAUAUUUCACACUGGAGAUCUUAGGGGUGGCAUUGUUUAGUACUGACUUACUGAACAGGACACUUCUUGUACGCUCCACCUCUCAUUCCACAGUUUCCAAACCUAUCUCCUUUAAUAUUGGCUUUUUCAAAGCACAGAUCAGGUGCUUUUCGUGCCCCUGUAUGAAAAUUAGUGAAUCUUAGUAAGCCAUCAUGCUGUCUUAAAAAUAUGAGACAGAAAAAGCAAGCUAUGAGAUGUCCUGUAGAAGACAAGUUUUUUUUUUUUUUUUUUUUACAUUAAAUUAUAAACUUACCUUUUCCAUAUAUAGCUUCACACUGUGAAUCAUAGCUCUGACAUACUCCGUAGUAGCAAUAUGCUUUCAUGUUGUUGCAUGGGUAACCAUUCAUGAUAUAAACAUCAUCCGGGCAGUAGGCAUAGCUUCCAUUGCAGUACUCAGGGAGAUCACAGAAACCCAUUUUUGAUCUGCAUUCUGCUCCUGCUGCUUUAAACUAGAACAGGAGAAGAGUGCCACCUCACUUUUAUUUCAUAACAGCACAACUUCAAACAUGAAACAAUGACAGCUGAGAAUCUGUGAUGUUAAAGAAGACAAAAUAGGGUGGGUUUUUUUUUUUUUGGAUCAAUAUCUAAUGAAAGCCCAAAACUUCCCUCAGUUUCAUAGGGUGUAGCUACCAAGUUUUUGAGGUCAGUUUGCAGAAGGGCAGGGUAGGUCAUACAAACACACACACAAGCACAAAUUAAAAAGUAGCCAACAAUCAGAGACUUUGUAGAUGCCUGGGGUUGCAUAAUGGAAAUGACUGUUGCUGAAUGCCCUGAUUACUCCUUCCUCCUGUGAGGGAUGACACAGAGAUGACAUUCCAUUUCUAAGCUACAGAACUCAUUAGAGACAAUUUCUCUACUGCCAUGCUCUCUGCUGGUGAAGGUAGUUUGAUGUGGAACUAUGUCAAGAGAUACUAUGAGAUUCUUUUCCAACGUCUCCUAAAAAGCCAGCCUAGUAAUGAAUAUCAACUCAGCCUAAUAAAACAAAGCCUACCUUGCAGUUUUUGCAGCACAGUCCUUGUGCACAUUGCGAUCCAGAUGUAAGUUUGCAGGUGGCAGCAUCGCAGCAAGGGUUGGUGCAUUCCUAAGAACAGCCACGAAGAAGGGAACACGAUGUUUUUCCCUUGUGUAGCUAGGAAUGGAGCUGGUCAAGCCAAGCGCGUGGACAAACCAAACAUUACGUAUGCGAUCUGUCUUGCAUACUCUGAGAUUGAUAGCCUCUCACAGAAAGCAACAUACAGUCUGGCUGUGUUUUUUUUUUUUUUUUUUGAUGGGCUAUGCCAUAGGAAUAUAAGAUAGGUUUCCACUUUAAGUGGGCACUAAAGAAGCAGACCAGAUCGUUUUUUAAAUAACACUGCUUAUCCCACCCCGUCUUAUUUUCCCAUUACACUGGCAGUUUGAUGUAAAGAAAUGCUGAUAUCUUUUCUUGGCUUAGAAGAAGACCUAUGCAAUGGGUUUGCUGACAGCCUCUUGAUUUAUCAGUGUCUUUUUUGAGACACCUUUAUUUUCUCAAGAACAAGCCAACAUACCCCAUUCUUAGAAAGACAUUUUUGCAGUGUGAAUAUGACCAAAGUAAUUGUGUUUUGGGCUAAUUUUGAGGGCUACAGGUAAGAAACAUGUAAGUGCUACAAAAACUAGUAAUCUCUUUUAUGUAACAGAAAUCUCUACCUUGCUAAUACCAGCACAAAAACCAAUGGCAUUUUCACAUACUGUGCACUGAAAUGCACUUCUUUGUUAGGCAAUGACUCAAAGUUCUAUCAAGUCCAGUAGCUCUUAACUGAGUUCAUACCAAAACUGAUGUAUCAUUUUAGGCUUUUUUCCUAAAAUUUACCUUUACACAGCUUGCAAAAAUGGCCCCAGGUAUUAACACAAAUCAGGUGUACAACAAGUAUGAUAUAACACACAAGUACCCGGCUGAAUUUCAUUACCUGUGGUUUUCCACAGUCACAUUCUUCAUCAUUAUCAAUCACAUUGUUACCACAGACAGGCUCUUUGUAAACAUUACUUGUUUUGGGCGGAUUUCUGAGGCAGUUUCCUCCUCCAUUUAGAACAAGGUUCUCAAAAUCAUCAGCACUGCAGGAACUGAAAUUCCUGGACCCCCUGGAAAGCAUAAUAUUUUUUAUUAGAUUUUGCUUACAAAAGGACAAUUCAAUAAAAUCUUGUCACAUUUCCAAGUGUUAGGAGAGCUUGAAAUAUUUUCUUUUUACUUUAUUGUGUAUGAGAGUACUUCUAGAAAUAAAAAAAGAUUCUUCUUUUUUCAGAAGCACAAAAACCCACCAGAUUAUCCAUUCUUAUAUUCUAUACAAAAUAGGCUUUCAAAAUCCCUUGUUUGAACUGAGUCCAACAAUGCCUGAUUAAAAUACAUUCUGACCAGGUCAGAAAAUAGGUAACAAUUCAAAUAAACCAAAAUUAUAUCAAAUCCUAAGUCCAAAAAUUCACUCCAUGAUCAAAAUUUUCAAACAACUUCUCAUUCACAACAGUUCUUUGGUGUUCAUAGAAUCUUAUGAGUUUAUAAGACAGGCAGUGCAGAUGAAUAACAAUUAUUAAAUUAAAUGGAAUCUUACUUAUCUGUGCUGUGCAUAAUGUAGGAUGCAGGACACCUUUUAUCAUCAUGUUUCAUUCCAAGGUUAUGUCCCAGUUCGUGUGCAACUACUGUAGCAUGACGUAACACAUUGUUAUGAUUCAACUAAUAAAGAGAAUCAGUGUUAAAAAUUAUGACAGUACUACCUUUCCACCUACCCACUUAUUCAAGCCAUAGGUUUCUUAGAGGCUAUGAAGACAUUGCAAAAUUAUAUUGCAAUGCAAAAACAGCAAGAAAUGGCAGUUUGCCACUGUUUAUUUUCAGGUAGGGCCAAAUUCUGCUGCUUUUUCUAUUCCUUCCAACAGGACCAUACUCUGAUAGUAACACAGCCAGUCACGGGAAUGUACUUACAGUGCUGAUUGACCCUCCCUGCACCUGUGAGCAGACAGUACCCACAAAAGCCAUUCCAAUGGAUCCAUUGUAAGAGCCUCUCCCUCUGUGACAAAAGCAAUUUGAAGGCGAUGUUGAAAGAGUUGCUGAACUUUUAAGGUUUCUUCUAAAAGCCACUGAUGAAACAAAUACUGCAAAGCAUAAUUUGGUCUUCUUGAAGUCAAGAAGAAAGUUGUACAAUAUCAUGGUUUCACUGUAACUAAUAAUAUUGGGAUAACGUAGGUUGAAAAUAAUGACCAGUCACCAGAGUCUGCUGUAUCAGUGCUUUGAGUUGAUCAAACUACAAAGAAUGCAUUGCAUUUUAUGUUUUUUUUUUUUUUCCCAGGUUAAAGCAGUCUGGAAAUUGAGGGAAUUUUAUUCCAGUUAUAUUUUCAUUCAUAUAUGAAACAUGAAACAAAACCCACAGACGUUAGCAACUCUGGCAGCGUGGCUAGUUCUGCCACUAAAUGAAAACUUACAUUAUGAGAUGGCUGACAUCAUUUCUGGAUCGCUUGAGAAGAUCUUUCUGUCUCCAAGAAACGAAUCUACCCAGUACAUCUCCAGCUGAACCCUCCAUUACAGAAAUUUGGUUUUUAUCUGUCCAAAUUUCUAAUCCAACCAAAACAAUCUGGAUAUUUAAUGCACUGUACAUCUGGAAAGAGGGAAAGAAAGAAUUUAUCAGAACUCCCAACAGUUUGGGGUCCAUGAAAAUGUGAGCAACAAGGAAGUGCUCAGCCAAACCCACCUGCAGUGAUACCAUGCCAAAGCAAGGCUCUGCAGACCCUCAGCUACUGGGGCAGACUGAGGGAAUAGUUUGGACUGUAGCCCUCAGGAGAGAAACAAAAAAUGUAUUUACCCUCAAAAGCUCUUCCUUACUAGAGGUAUUGUUUGGUGAAAAUGCAUAUCUCACAGACUGCUUCACAAAUAUCUGCAUCUGACGAUGAAGGUUAUCAUUCAGCACACCACAAUGAAAAGGAGUAUGCUGCAUAUCUUCUAAGUGGUAAAACCUGUGUUCAAGUGUUCUGGAUGUGUUGAUCGGCUCCAUUCCAUACCAUUUGCCAGCAAUGUAGACAAUUCCUCUAACAAGCAUAAAAGAAGGAAGCAUUA